CCUACGGGAGGCAGCAGUGAGGAAUAUUGGUCAAUGGACGCAAGUCUGAACCAGCCAAGUAGCGUGAGGGAUGACUGCCCUAUGGGUUGUAAACAUCUUUUAUAUGGGGAUAAAGGGUUCCACGUGUGGAUUUUUGUAUGUACCAUAUGAAUAAGGAUCGGCUAACUCCGUGCCAGCAGCCGCGGUAAUACGGAGGAUCCGAGCGUUAUCCGGAUUUAUUGGGUUUAAAGGGAGCGUAGGUGGAUUGUUAAGUGAGUUGUGAAAUUUUGUGGCUCAACCGUAAAAUUGCAGUUGAAACUGGCAGUCUUGAGUACAGUAGAGGUGGGCGGAAUUCGUGGUGUAGCAGUGAAAUGCUUAGAUAUCACGAAGAACUCCGAUUGCGAAGGCAGCUCACUGGACUGCAACUGACACUGAGGCUCGAAAGUGUGGGUAUCAAACAGGAUUAGAUACCCUAGUAGUC
rnacentral:rRNA from 1 species